rnacentral:rRNA from 1 species
ACGGGUGAGUAACACGUGGGCAACCUGCCCUUGAGACUGGGAUAACUUCGGGAAACCGGAGCUAAUACCGGAUAAUACAAGGAACCUCCUGGUUCCUUGUUGAAAGAUGGUUUCGGCUAUCACUUAAGGAUGGGCCCGCGGCGCAUUAGCUAGUUGGUGAGGUAACGGCUCACCAAGGCGACGAUGCGUAGCCGACCUGAGAGGGUGAUCGGCCACACUGGGACUGAGACACGGCCCAGACUCCUACGGGAGGCAGCAGUAGGGAGUCUUCCACAAUGGACGAAAGUCUGAUGGAGCAACGCCGCGUGAGUGAUGAAGGCCUUCGGGUCGUAAAGCUCUGUUGUUAGGGAAGAACAAGUGCGAGAGUAACUGCUCGCACCUUGACGGUACCUAACCAGAAAGCCACGGCUAACUACGUGCCAGCAGCCGCGGUAAUACGUAGGUGGCAAGCGUUAUCCGGAAUUAUUGGGCGUAAAGCGCGCGCAGGUGGUUUCUUAAGUCUGAUGUGAAAGCCCACGGCUCAACCGUGGAGGGUCAUUGGAAACUGGGGAACUUGAGUGCAGAGGAGGAAAGUGGAAUUCCA